rnacentral:rRNA from 1 species
UAAUACGUAGGGGGCUAGCGUUGUCCGGAUUUAUUGGGCGUAAAGAGCGUGUAGGCGGCCAAGUAGGUCCGGUGUGAAAACUCGAGGCUUAACCUCGAGAUGUCAUCGGAAACCAUUUGGCUAGAGUCCGGAAGAGGAAAGUGGAAUUCCUGGUGUAGCGGUGAAAUGCGCAGAUAUCAGGAAGAACACCAAUGGCGAAAGCAGCUUUCUGGGACGGUACUGACGCUGAGACGCGAAAGCGUGGGGAGCGAACAGGAUUAGAUACCCUGGUAGUCCACGCCGUAAACGAUGGGCGCUAGGUGUGGGCGGUGUCGACUCCGUCCGUGCCGAAGCUAACGCAUUAAGCGCCCCGCCUGGGGAGUACGGCCGCAAGGCUA